ensembl:lncRNA
GGUGUUGACUUUAAGAUGAAGACUAUAGAGGUAGAUGGCAUCAAAGUGCGGAUACAGAUCUGAUAUGUUUGGAUCCCCUUGGGCACCAGUGCUCCACUGAUUUUUCACCCUGCAGUUCUCCAGUUUUUCCCAUAAAGGCAGAGGUCUCCCGGCUCCUGCUCAUCCUGUCCCCACCUGCUUCCGUGGUCCCUGCCCUUCUGAAAGGCUGCCUUGCUAUUGCAGGGACACAGCAGGGCAGGAGAGAUAUCAGACCAUCACAAAGCAGUACUAUCGACGGGCCCAGGGAAUAUUUUUAGUCUACGACAUUAGCAGUGAGCGCUCCUACCAGCACAUCAUGAAGUGGGUCAGUGAUGUGGAUGAGUAUGCACCAGAAGGUGUUCAGAAGAUCCUUAUAGGAAAUAAGGCCGAUGAGGAGCAGAAACGCCAGGUGGGAAGAGAGCAGGGGCAGCAGCUGGCUAGAGAGUAUGGCAUGGACUUCUAUGAAACAAGUGCCUGCACCAACCUCAACAUUAAAGAGUCCUUCACGCGCCUGACGGAGCUGGUGCUGCAGGCCCACAGGAAAGAGCUGGAAGGUCUGCGGACGCACGCCAGCCAUGAGUUGGCCUUGGCGGAGCUGGAGGAGGAGGAGGGCAAACCCGAGGGUCCGGUGAACUCUUCGAAAACCUGCUGGUGCUGAGGGUCCCACGUGGAGCACCCGCACAAUCCCCUCUCCCCGCAGGAGGCCUGCGGGCAUACAGGGAGCCUGGGCCUCGCCCUGCUUCUCCUCUCCUUUGGGUGGCCUGUGGCAUCUCAGCCGCUGCUUCUCCCCCUGCCUGGCACCAAGAGCAGCUACGCUGUCUUGUCUGAACAGCCUUGCCUCCGGCCCUCCACCGGGGUGUCCCCUCCAGCCUGUUUCCCCAGCCACAGGUCUGCUACUGGUCCCGACGUGCCAUGAGCACUGCCUCACUGCCCCAGCUCCCAGGCAAUGGCCGAGUCUGGAGUCAAGGCCUCUGUAAGGCUCCAUCUCUUUCAGUGCAUCUGGUGUCCUCUGCUUUUUCUCGCUUCUUCCCACUUCUCUCUCUCUGUACCCCCGCCUCCUGCUGUGUUCAUAUCAACCUUUCCCACCCCCCGCGCCAUGCCAUGUGGCUGCUAGUGUGGCCCUUCUCCCCACCCCCCCAGCCUUGGCCUAUCCCAGGGAAUGGACUCAGGCUCAGGGGCGAGUUUCCUGCUCUGCUCCAGGGAGAACCUGUGCCCUGCUUGGUGGGCACUUCUUCCUGUCCUCCCCGCCCCACCGCCCUGUCUUGUGCCAUGGGCCUGCCUCCCCAGGCACCGGGGAAAGAGGAAUGUCAAGGGAGGAAGGAAAGCUCAAACUGGUGGUCCCCACGCCUGGGGCUUUCCUGCCUCCUGCCCCCAGCGUCAGCCUUGCUUGGCUGCCUGCCAGCUGCCAUUGGGGAAACUGAGCUUGAGGCAGGUGCUUCUGAGAAGAAAAAAAAUGAUGAGGGGUGGCAGGGACAAAAAGUCACCUCCAUUCUCUACCUCCCAGGCAGCAUGUAUACCAUUUCUACUCCCCUGGGCUCCUGAAUUGAAAGAUGCGGACCAAGCCUGGAGGGCACUGUGGGGGCAAGGAAAGCCUCGGGGCCAACAACAAGCUCCAGAAAGGGGACUGUUUGGUAGUGAAGGACCAGCUCCUAUCUAUCAGGUUAAGAGCCAGGGAGAGCAGGCAGGGUAGCAGUUUGCACACGAGAGGGGAAUUCAGCAACAGGAGGGAUUCCUGGGCCUCCUCUUCCAUUUCUUGUGUGAGAAAGGUGUUUCCCCACCACCCCUGGCAGUGAGAGGUGACAGAACCACCCUGGGGGGCUUUCUCUGAGCCCAGCCUGGGGCUCUCGAGGUUUUCCUGAGAACCAAAGUUUGCGGGACAAGGGCAGGGAGCUCAUGGGAAGAAAGCAAGCGAGCCCUGGGUAGGGAUGCUUGGUGCUGUUCCCUUCAGCCUUCAAGGCAAGUGCCCAUCUUGCCCCUCUGGCUCCUGAGUCAGAGGCUUGAGGUUUGCCAGCUGCACUGUGGCUACAGGUGGAAGGAAGCAGACUCGCUCCUCCAGGGCCCUUUGUUCAGGAAGAUGUUUCUUUAACCCCAUAUGGUCCAAGAGUAGCUUAAGGAGGCCCUUUAAGGAGGGAAUGAGUCAGUUACCAGCUCUAGGGAGGAGGGUCAGUCUUAAGUGUGUUGCAUGGCUGGAGCUGGAGCUAAAACACAGAACUGAGCAUCCAACACUCAUUGAUUAAGGAGGAGGGUCAGUCUUAAGUGUGUUGCAUGGCUGGAGCUGGAGCUAAAACACAGAACUGAGCAUCCAACACUCAUUGAUUAAGGACCAAAAUCCAGGAUACACACACGUAAAGGAUCAAGAGUCCCACUUCCUUAUUCUGCCGAAGAAAAAAGGUGAGGGAUGAACUCACCGAACCUUUCCUCCUGGUUCUUACCAGAUCAGGAGAGGGUAGCUCAGGGUGUAGGAACGGAGACGGGUCGGCAUGGUGAAAGGAAGAGGAGGGCAGGAAUAGUUAUAAAUCAUCGACUAAUGAGACAUGUAGAGCUGCCUCUUUAGAAUGAAGUCACAACCAUAGCUUAGGAGGCUUCCUUGACAACUGACUCCUCAGGCGUCAAGACAUAUGCAGUCGCACAGAGGGGGGGUGGGGAGGUCAGCAGUGCCAACCCUCGGCGUGCCCUCAGCCAGGGCCUCGAGGAAGGGAAGUUAUCCUGGCCAUCAGCUCCACCUGUGGAUCAGAAUCUCCACUUCCCUCAAGAUCAGGCUGAGCACCAUUGCCUUUCUCUCCCAGCCCCCUCAGGAAAGAGGGGCUGUAUUUUUACUGUAUUCUUGGGUUUUGGAAGGGAAAACUUGAGGCUGGGAUCCUACGGCCUGGUAAGCCCCAUCCACAAGGGCCACAGUCAGGGAGAGGUUGAGGGCAGGAGGGUUGGGAUUUUAGGGUGCAGCUAUGCUCACCAGGUACCAGAGUCAGCUUCUCACCCCUAAACUCCAGUGCAGGAGGUGGCCUGGGACCUGGCCUUUGGCCCAGACUGUUGAGCAGGCACACCUGCCUGUUGGCUCCUCACCACCUGUGCACCUGUUGCCUCGAGACUCAGCCCCAGGCACUCCACCUGCUCUAGAGCCCCACCAUCUCCCUGUGAUGGGUGAACUUGUGUGCUGUGUCUCGGGUCCAGUAUAUAAAUUGUGAGCAGGGUUCAUCUAUUUUAAACACAGAUGUUUACAAAAUAAAGAAUAUUUCAAAU